CACUGUUAUAGAUUGAAUAGCAGUCAGUGUCCUUAAAGCGGGUGUGUUACGCUAACAGUGGAUACGCUGACAAGUGCCACUAAUUAGAUCCUGUGUCACAAUAGUUUGGAUUUUAAAAAAAUAAUAAUCUUUUUUCACUGUUAUAGAUUGAAUAGCAGUCAGUGUCCUUAAAGCAGGUGUGUUACGCUAACAGUGGAUACGCUGACAAGUGCCACUAAUUAGAUCUGGUGUCACAAUAGCUUGG